AGUGAACGCUGGCGGUAGGCCUAACACAUGCAAGUCGAACGGCAGCACAGUAAGAGCUUGCUCUUACGGGUGGCGAGUGGCGGACGGGUGAGGAAUACAUCGGAAUCUACUUUUUCGUGGGGGAUAACGUAGGGAAACUUACGCUAAUACCGCAUACGACCUACGGGUGAAAGCAGGGGAUCUUCGGACCUUGCGCGAUUGAAUGAGCCGAUGCCGGAUUAGCUAGUUGGCGGGGUAAAGGCCCACCAAGGCGACGAUCCGUAGCUGGUCUGAGAGGAUGAUCAGCCACACUGGAACUGAGACACGGUCCAGACUCCUACGGGAGGCAGCAGUGGGGAAUAUUGGACAAUGGGCGCAAGCCUGAUCCAGCCAUACCGCGUGGGUGAAGAAGGCCUUCGGGUUGUAAAGCCCUUUUGUUGGGAAAGAAAAGCAGCAGGUUAAUACCCCGCUGUUCCGACGGUACCCAAAGAAUAAGCACCGGCUAACUUCGUG
rnacentral:rRNA from 1 species